rnacentral:lncRNA from 10 species
CUUAUGAGGCUGAGGCAGGAGAACUGCUUGAACCUGGGAGGUGGAGGUUGUGGUGAGCUGAGAUCGCGCCACUGCACUCCAGCCUGGGUGAGAGUGACUCUGGUCUUAAAAAAAAAAGAAAAAGAAAAAGAAAAAGAGGAAAAAAAAAGAUGCCCAUGUUACAUUGUUAGUCAUCAGUCACUGUAGAAACCUGCCUGGCAGUUCCUCAAAAUGUUAAACAGAGUUACCAUAUGAUCCAGCAAUUCACUCUUAGGUAAAUGCCUAAGAGAAAUUUAAAAAUAUGCCUACACAAAGACUUGUAUGUGAAUGUUCAUAGCAUUAUUCAUAAUAGCCAAAAAGUAUAAACAACUCAAACGUCUAUCAACUGAUGAAUGGAUAAACAAAAUGUGUUAUAUCCAUGCAAUCCACACAGUAUAUCCAUAGUGACACAUGCCACAACACGGUUGAACCUUGAAAACUUUAUGCUAAGUGAAAGCCAGACACAAAAGUACAUGCAUUGUAUUAUUCCAUUUAUAAGAAAUGUCUGGAAUAGGCAAACCUACAGAGACAAAAAGUAGAUAAAUGGUUGCCAAGGGAUGGAGGGAAGAGGAAAUGAGAAGUGAUUGCUAAUGGUUAUGGGGUUUCUUUUUAGGUAAUGAAGAUGUUCUGGAAUUACAGUACUUACGGUUGCCUAUCUUUCUGUACAAAUAACACAUGGCUUUUGCCUCCUGACUGGAGCCUUUCAGGUAUACAGAGAGCCUACAAUUAGCUGCUGUUCAAGGAUCCAGGUUUCAGCAAUUAUGAAUAAAGCUGCUAUAAAUAUUUGAGUGCAGAUUUUUGUGGACAUAGAUUUUCAACUCAUUUGGAUAAAUACCAAGGAGCACAAUUGCUGGGACAUAUGGAAGCUUCAAAGAAAGUUUAUUCUCUAGCAGUCCAUGGUUGUCUGCCCCACCCUCUUCAGGCUCC